GAGCGGAGCAAGGAGGGGGCACCAUGGUAUUGUUGCACGUGCUGUUCGAGCACGUGGUUGGCUACGCACUGCUGGCGCUGAAGGAGGUGGAGGAGAUCAGUCUGCUGCUGCCGCAGGUAGAGGAGUCUGUGCUCAACCUGGGCGAAUUCCACAACAUUGUUUGUCCAGUGGCCUUUUGUCCCUUUGCUUCAUCUCAGGUUGCCUUGGAAAAUGCCAAUGCAGUGUCUGAAGGUGUUGUUCAUGAGGAUCUGCGUCUGCUCUUGGAGACCCAUCUGCCAUUCGAAAAGAAGAAAGUACUCUUGGGGGUUGGGGAUCCCAAGAUUGGUGCUGCAAUACAAGAGGAGUUAGGGUACAACUGCCAGACUGGAGGUGUGAUAGCUGAGGUCCUGCGAGGAGUUUGUUUGCACUUCCAUAAUCUGGUGAAGGGUCUGAAUGAUCGGUCAGCUUGCAAAGCCCAAUUGGGGCUGAGACACAGCUAUUCUCGUACCAAAGUUAAGUUUAAUGUGAACCGGGUGGACAAUAUGAUCAUCCAGUCCAUUAGUCUCCUGGAUCAGCAGGAUAAAGACAUUAAUACCUUCUCUACGCAUGUCUGGGAGUGGUAUGGAUAUCACUUUUCAGAACUGGUGAAGAUCAUCAACAACAAUGCCACAUACUGCCAUGUUGCCCAGUUUAUUGGAAACUGAAGGGGGCUGAAUGAGGAAAAGCUGGAGAAGCUGGAGGAAUUAAUGAUGGAUGGAGCCAAAGCUAAGGCUAUUCUAGAUGCCUCACGGUCCUCCAUGGGUAUGGACAUAUCUGCCAUUGACUUGAUAAACAUCGAGAGCUACUCCAGCUGUGGGGUGUCUUUGUCAGAGUACUGCCAGAGCCUCCACACAUACCUGCACUUGAAGAUGAGCCAAGUAGCCCCCAGCCUGUCAGCCAUAAUUGGAGAAGUGGUAGGUGCAUGUCUCAUCGCUCAUGCUGGCAGCCUCACCAACUGGCCAAGUAUCUAGCAUCCACAGUGCAGAUCCUUUGGGCUGAAAAGGCCCUGUUCAGAGCCCUGAAGACAAGGGGUAACACACCAAAAUAUGGACUUGUUUUCCACUCCAUCUUCAUUGGCUAAGCAGCUGCCAAGAACAAAGGCCGAAUCUCCCGAUACCUGGCAAACAAAUGCAGUAUUGCCUCAUGAAUCGAUUGUUUUUCUGAGAUACCCAUGAGCGUAUUUGGGGAGAAGCUUUGGGAACAAGUUGAGGAGUGGCUGUCCUCCUAUGAGAUUGGAGAGAUUCCACAAAAGAAUCUGGAUGUCAUGAAGGAAGCAAUGGUUCAUGUAGAGGAAGUGGCUGCUGAGAUCUCUAGGAAACUGGAGAAACAGGAGAAGAAAUGCUUGAAAAAGGAAAAGAAAUGACUGGCUGCACUUGCCUUUGCUUCUUCAGAAAACAGCAGUAGCACUCAGCAGGAGUGUGAGGAUACAGUGGAAAAACCCAAAAAGACAAAAAAGCAAAAGCCCCAGGAGGUUCCUCAGGAGAAUGGAAUGGAAGAUCACCCAUCUAGCCCUGUCUCUAAACCCAAGAAAAAGAAAUCUUUUUCCAAGGAAGAGUUGGUUAGUAGUGAUCUUGAGGAGAACACUAGCAUUAUAAGUCCUCCCAAGAAGAUGAAAGCUUCACCCAAGGAGGAAACAGUAGUUAGUGAUCCUGAAGAGGCAGGCAAGAGUGUGUCUAAGAAAAAGAGGAAAUUCUUCUCUAAGGAGGAGAUGGUUUGCCUGCUGCAGCCCACUGCCAGGGCUAGAGGACUCGCAGUUGUGCUGGAGCCUCCUGCAGGGCAUGCCAAACUCCAUCAGACACUGAAUACAAGCUAUGCCUGGCCUUCCAGAACAAUGGAAAAGCACACUGAAAACCAGUGGGAAGAUACAGGUCUGAUAAUUAAGUUUGCAAACUUGUUACGGAGUGCUUACGUUGGCAGCACUGUACGAACAGCUCAGCGAGGUUUCAUAACCAUUCUUGGCAACGUGGAUGACCUUGUGAUGCUACAUUUUGAUGAGAUGAUCGCUGAUUUGGAGUCAUCCCUGCUGUGCCAUCUGAGCUCAUAUUCUCAAAGGAGUCUAUCUGCAAAAUUAACUUUUCUUUUAAGAAGAGAGCAAGAGGAAGAAAGACCCAGUGAGAGGGAAAAUGAAGGCUCAUUGCAAGAUCAGCCUUCAAAUCUGAGAGGCACAGAGAAGCUAUUGAGGGAUUAA